GGGAAAGAACCCUGUGACGUCGGCGACCCACUCUUCCGCGCUUCAGCUCCAGGCCAGUGCG
rnacentral:ribozyme from 1 species